rnacentral:misc_RNA from 2 species
AACGCACAUUGCGCCCUUUGGUAUUCCGAAGGGCAUGCCUGUUCGAGCGUCAUUAUCACCUCUCAAGCCUGGCUUGUUGUUGGACCUCUCGGUCUGGGUUCACCCCCGACCGGUCCCAAAAGUAAUGACGGCGUCGCGUAGACUCUCGGUGCAACGAGCUUUUUCCAAGGCACGCACGGAGUUGAAAGGUCUUCCGGCACGGUCUCACACCUAUUUUCUCAAGGUUGACCUCGGAUCAGGUAGGAAUACCCGCUGAACUUAA